AGCGAACGCUGGCGGCAGGCCUAAUACAUGCAAGUCGAGCGCACCUUCGGGUGAGCGGCGGACGGGUGAGUAACGCGUGGGAACGUGCCCUUUGGUACGGGAUAACUGGGGGAAACUUCAGCUAAUACCGUAUGUGCCCAACGGGGGAAAGAUUUAUCGCCAUUGGAGCGGCCCGCGUUGGAUUAGGUAGUUGGUGAGGUAAAGGCUCACCAAGCCUACGAUCCAUAGCUGGUCUGAGAGGAUGAUCAGCCACACUGGGACUGAGCACACGGCCCAGACUCCUACGGGAGGCAGCAGUAGGGAAUCUUGCGCAAUGGGCGAAAGCCUGACGCAGCCAUGCCGCGUGUAUGAUGAAGGUCUUAGGAUUGUAAAAUACUUUCACCGGGGAAGAUAAUGACGGUACCCGGAGAAGAAGCCCCGGCUAACUUCGUGCCAGCCGCCGCCGUAAAAC
rnacentral:rRNA from 1 species